rnacentral:lncRNA from 1 species
CCUAUUUCAGGUUUAUAAGACCUCUUUCAGCAGAUCACAUCAGAAGCCAGGAAAUGUAUAGCUAGGAGAUGUCAAAAGCCCAUAUGAGGAGUGGACCAAGCAGCAGUGGCGGUUUCUCCUGGCAUCUUUUUUUUUUAAAGCUUUAACUUAGCAGGGGCAUGGACUUUAUAGCACUUUUUCAACUUUUUGCUUUGCUUUGGAUAAGAAAUCCUUACCUUUAAAAAAAGCUUCUAGUCUCCAUAACCCCCAAAGUACUGCUUAUUUGUUUGAAGAAUCCAGCCAUCGUAGUGCUUUAGUCAUUAUCGUAAACAUUCAUGAUAGGGCAAGGAUUUUUAAAAGGAUUUAGCAAGGAUUCUUGCUUCUGUAGUCAUCAAGGUGAACAGAAGCAUCCUACACAACCACUAAGGGCUCUAUGUUUGUGUCAUGCCUCUUCAAACACCGAGGAGUUGAACAUGCUUCCAGUGAUUUGUCUCCGUAAUGCCUUCUUCCUUUAUUUGGCCUUUCUUUCUUUCUGUACCUUCAAGUUCUUGAUUUUUAAAAUUCCAACUCUAGAGAAAACCAAUAUAUGGUGGUGCUGGGCUUUGAAGAUAGCAUAUCAGACGCCUUGGUUCUGUUUGUACACUUAGCCUUACAUUUCAGGAGGAGGCUUUUCAUUAGGGGCUUAAGCUAGCUCCUUUGGCUUUUAAAAAAAUUUUUUUUCAAAUUUCUUCAUUACCUAAGGGAGCCUGCAUCUAAAUUUCUCAACUAGUUCAGCCUAGCUGAAUUUUCUAGUGUGUAAUACACUUUGCUUCCUUCUUAUUGGUGAAAACCAGGGGGAUGAGUGGCUUCCAUGGAGAGAUUUCCUGAUUUCUCAGGGAGGAAAAAAGUGAUGACAUUUACCACUACUUUUAUGUUUUUCCCCUUUUUCCAAAUUGAUAAGGAUUUCUGGUUCCUAGUGAUGCGGGAUUGGGCAACAGUGCAGAACUGCCAGUCAUGCCGUAGGCCGUGAAGAAAGAAUUGCCAGAACCUACAGAUACCCUGCUACUUGCUUCACGUGGAUGCUCAGUGCCCAACAGCCAUCUUAAUACAUUAAACCAGUUUAAAAAAUACCUUCCACGUGGAGAAAAACAUGUCUUUUUCUCGCCUCAACUUUAUCCACAUGAAAUGUGUGCUCAUGGCUGGGCGCAGUGGCUCAUGCCUGUAAUCCCAACACUUUGGGAGGCUGAGGCAGGCAGAUUGCUUGAGGCCAGGAGUUCGAGAACAGUCUGGCCAACAUGGCGAAACCUCAUCUCUACUAAAAUUACAAAAAUUAGCCGGGCAUGGUGGCACAUGCCUGUAAUCCCAGCUACGUCAGGAGGCUGAGGCACAGGAAUUGCUUGAACCCAAGAGGCAGAGGAUGCAAUGAGCCAAGAUCACACCACUGCACUCCAGCCUUGGCAACAGAGGGAGACUCUGUCUCAAAAAAAAAAAAAAAAGAGGUGUGCCCAGGCCCCUAGCCAUUGCCAUGUGCCCAGCCAGAGAGCCAAAUUAGAGGGCUGGCUUCCCUAUCACACAGAAGAAAUGCUAGUGCUAGCCAAUGAUCCCUUUGCUUUUAAUGUAUAGAAAAUACUGUUGUUCCUUUUGUCAUUUCCAAUGACAUCUGUUUUCUAAGCAGCUCUUUUCUAGGGAGGAAACCAAAGGGGCUAGGUUAAGCCCCUAAUAGAAAUGUUUUUUCUAAUCUCUGGUGAGUCUGGAAGUGUCACAUUCACAGUCCACCCUUGGGAGUGGCUUGGUGGAGCUGGGGACAAGGUUUUGUUUACUACAUAGUGUACAUGAUAAAUGGCCUUAAACUGUGAUUCUUUCUGGUAGGAUAAGUUAUAAUACACUGACCCUAAAGAAUGCAAUGGCUUUUAAACUGCAGUUACUGUGUUCUUAAUGAAGCAAUACCCAAAGCUCUGUUCUUUUGGAGCACUUGAGGGGAGGUUGAAUGAAAGGUACAAAUAAGAGCAGUACCUUGAUCUUAUGCUUUCUGAGUGUCCUGCCUUGUUGCCAUCUGCAUGGAUGAGUGAAUGCUUCUAUGCACGAGGAGACUCAAGCCAACUCAGAGUCUGCUUUUUCCAACGCUAUUCCCAGGUUUCUUUUGCAAAGCUUGGUCAUUUGGCCCAGGUCUUCCUGGAAAGUGGAGUACAUGUCACUGACUAGGGUGGUGUGGUGUCUUUACCCUUAACAUUAAGUCUUGUUACCUCAGUGAUGUGAAGCCAAUGGUUGGAAUUAUAAAAAGCAUCCUUGCUGGUUCUUCACAGGACACUGGAACCCACCCUGUCGAUUCAGCUAGCAUGUCCACACAGUCUUGAUGAUCCCUCUCUGUAACAGGCAGCUAACAUUAAGAGAAGGGGGAAAGAGAAGAAGAGAGCAAUAGCUUAUGGGAGAGCUGAGAUCUUACUUCGUUGACCCAUAUUUUUCCCCUGACCAAGUUACCUGUAAACUGGAAUUUGCAAGGGGAUGCUGUGAUGAUAACCCCUUUCUAUUGCUGUAAUGUUCAUAUAACCUGGGAAACUGAGAGAAGGGGAUGUGUAAAUAAAAGCUUAAACAUUUUAGUAAUGUGUUAAAAUGUCACUCUCUCUUACCCUGUUUCCCUUUUUUGCCAGAUGAUGAUUUUUUUAUUUUUAUUUUGUACUUUACUGGAUGACUGUGAAGCGAUGAGUAUUGGGUUGGGGUAGGUGUGUUGAUUUUGAGAGUGCAUGUUAAGAACUGGAGGGGAACUACUUGAGAUGACUUAAGAAGCAUCCCAUGCAACUAUCUUGUUUUGC